CCUACGGGAGGCUGCAGUAGGGAAUAUUGCUCAAUGGGGGAAACCCUGAAGCAGCAACGCCGCGUGGAGGAUGAAGGUUUUCGGAUUGUAAACUCCUUUUGUUAGAGAAGAUAAUGACGGUAUCUAACGAAUAAGCACCGGCUAACUCCGUGCCAGCAGCCGCGGUAAUACGGAGGGUGCAAGCGUUACUCGGAAUCACUGGGCGGAAAGAGCGCGUAGGCGGGAUAGCAAGUCAGAUGUGAAAUCCUAUGGCUUAACCAUAGAACUGCAUUUGAAACUGUUAUUCUAGAGUAUGGGAGAGGUAGGUGGAAUUCUUGGUGUAGGGGUAAAAUCCGUAUAGAUCAAGAGGAAUACUCAUUGCGAAGGCGACCUGCUAGAACAUAACUGACGCUGAUGCGCGAAAGCGUGGGGAGCAAACAGGAUUAGAUACCCUUGUAGUC
rnacentral:rRNA from 1 species